ensembl:lncRNA
GUUGCCUCCAAGAAGGGAUAUCAAAGAUGACUUUGCUACCCAAGUAAGGUAUCUUGGCCAGAGUCUGAAAUAAUGCGAGGAGGUAUAAAGCAGAAGUUGUGUGUGUAUAAAACUAUGGAAAGAGGUUAGGGGAGAAGGCUGUCACUCUGGCAGGUGGUUUUUGUAAAAAGGUGAUCUCUUGAAGUUCAAGAAAUUGAAAAAUAUCUACACCUACUCCUGGGAAGCUUGCCACAAAGCAGGAGGUGGUGGCUCCCCUGGCAGAAGAGCCAAGGCCAUCCUGACUCUCAGAGGAAACUGACUUCUCCCUAACAGCUGAGCGGACUCAUUGAUUCAUGAAAACAGGAACUGUUAGAAGAAACCUCCAGGUUCUCAGAACCACAUCUCUAUGCUUCCCUACAUCUCUGUCCACACGCACCACCUUCUCUUCUGUUGCUUUGGAAGAACGGACUCAAAGCCACCCCUCCACUGACACACUUGAUGUCAUCUCUGAUCGACUCAAAGUACCAUCCCAGGAACUCUACCCUCGCUGUCCUAUGUAUCCAUUUCCAUCUCCUGGACUUUCCAUCAGAACACAAAUAUAAUUUUAUUUAUCUUUCUUUGGACUUCGCUGGUGAUCCAGUGGCUAAGACUCUGAGCUUCCAAUGCAGUGGGUCCGGGUUCCAUCCCUGGUCAGGGAACUAGAUCACACGUGCCUCAUCUAAAGAUCCCAUGUGCUGCAGCUAAGACCCGGCGUAGCCAAGUAAAUAAGUAAA